AAGUCGUAACAAGGUUUCCGUAGGUGAACCUGCGGAAGGAUCAUUAACAAAUCAAUUGUGCUACGAUGGGGGAAACCCGGUCGUAUGCAUAUAAACCCGAACCCGUGCAGCAAUGCCGGGCUAGGUGUGUGCACUAAUCACAGCAAUGUGGAUAUAUUAGUGUGCACGGCCGAGAGUAAGUGCGCAAGUGCUUACCCAAAGCCAAAUAGACGCUUGUAUGUUUUGACAGAUCUAGUUGACAACACAAAAUUGACAACUUUUAACAAUGGAUCUCUUGGCUCUUGCAACGAUGAAGAACGCAGUGAAAUGCGAAACGUAAUGCGAUUUGCACGAAUCUGUGAGUCAUCAAGUCUUUGAACGCACCUUGCACCGUAUCAGUAAUGACACGGUAUACCUGUUUGAGAAUCGUAAACAUCCUCAUCUACACUCUCUUUUGCGUGUGGGUGGACGUGUCGGUUCAAUAGCAAUACUGUCCGAUUAAAUAGAGUAGGUCUGGAACAGGCUAGUGGCCUGGACACUGUGUGCUAGAGACUUUGGUUCAGCAAUGAGCCCUGUCUUCUCACGGUGCGUCUCGGGUCAUUUAAAGCUAGCCUGGAAAGGUCCUUAACUGCGUCAAGCCUUCGUGCUUGGGCAACCCCCUCUCUUUGAUCUCAAAUCAGGUAAGGCUACCCGCUGAACUUAA
rnacentral:rRNA from 1 species